CGAACCUGCCGCAUGCAGGGGGAUACCAGCUGGAAACAGCUGCUAAUACCGCAUAUGCGCACGGCGCCGCAUGGCGCGGUGCGGAAAGGGAGAAAUCCCGGCAUGCGAUGGGUCCGCGUCCGAUUAGCUGGUUGGCGGGGCAGCGGCCCACCAAGGCGACGAUCGGUAGCCGGCCUGAGAGGGCGGACGGCCACAUUGGGACUGAGACACGGCCCAGACUCCUACGGAAGGCAGCAG
rnacentral:rRNA from 1 species